rnacentral:rRNA from 1 species
UGGAUCCAGACUUUGAUCAUGGCUCAGGAUGAACGCUAGCUACAGGCCUAACACAUGCAAGUCGAGGGGCAUCAUGGGGGUCGCUUGCGACCCCUGAUGGCGACCGGCGAAUGGGUGAGUAACGCGUAUCCAACUUGCCCCGCGCCCGGGGAUAGCCCUUGGAAAUGAGGAUUAAGACCCGAUAUGUGCCCUGGCCGCAUGGCCGGGACAUGAAGCAGACACGGGAUGGGGAUGCGUUGGAUUAGCCAGCCGGCAGGGCAGCGGCCUACCGGGGCGACGAUCCAUAGGGGUUCUGAGAGGAAGGUCCCCCACACUGGCACUGAGACACGGGCCAGACUCCUACGGGAGGCAGCAGUGAGGAAUAUUGGUCAAUGGGCGAGAGCCUGAACCAGCCAAGUAGCGUGCAGGAUGACGGCCCUAUGGGUUGUAAACUGCUUUUGCGGGAGAAUAACCGGCGCCACGCGUGGCGCCCUGCAUGUGUCCCGCGAAUAAGGACCGGCUAAUUCCGUGCCAGCAGCCGCGGUAAUACGGAAGGUCCGGGCGUUAUCCGGAUUUAUUGGGUUUAAAGGGAGCGCAGGCGGAGGAUCAAGCCAGCCGUGAAAUGGCGGCGCUCAACGCCGUCCGGCGGUUGGAACUGGUCCCCUUGAUUGCGGGAGAGGAAGGCGGAACUCGUGGUGUAGCGGUGAAAUGCAUAGAUAUCACGAAGAACCCCGAUUGCGAAGGCAGCCUUCCGGCCCGUUAAUGACGCUCAUGCUCGAAGGCGCGGGUAUCAAACAGGAUUAGAUACCCUGGUAGUCCGCGCGGUAAACGAUGAAUGCUCGGGAUUCGGCCGUUAUGGCUGAGUCCCCCAGCGAAAGCGUUAAGCAUUCCACCUGGGGAGUACGCCGGCAACGGUGCAACUCAAAUGAAUUGACGGA